CUCGAUGGUUUCUCAGCGCUCAGAGUAGUGGAAAUCGUUGUGAUAAAAAUCGUAGAAGGUGCUGUCGAGGCAGGUGAGAGGACGAAUUCAUGGCAGUGUGUAAUACAACAACGAAGAAAGGCGUAGUAGGAAAGAAAGAGCGACAGCAUUUGCUGGAGAGCAUAGUUUUAGCUUCUUUGGUUCAAUGUGACGUCCAUUUUUUUUUUGUUGUAUUUGGGGUUGUGAUUGUGACUGCCACUGGAGUGUUUAUGUGUGAGAUAAAACGACACGAGUCGCACAGAGCGGCCCAAAAACAAAAACAAAAACAACCACAACACACUGCAUAACACGUCGCUAGCUAACAAGCAGCUCAACUCGGCUGAACUCAGGCAGCGAAUUGCAACCACCACACAAGCAGAGGCCGCCGUCGCUGCCGCGUAGCUAUACCAACCAGGCCAGGCCAAGUCAAGUCGAGCCAAGCCAAGCCAGCGUCCAACGACCGACCGUCAGUAUGGAAGUGAAAAGCGCGUCUACAGGCUGUUUCGUCUCCACUUACGCAGUGAACGCGUCACGCGGACGGAGUUAAAAUUCAAAGAUAUUUCCAAUUUACUACCAACGAACAACAAAUCCCUAGUAUCUACAUAGUAGUGAUAGAAGAAGAAGCAUCAAAGAUAAAGUGCGGAAGAAUACGAAAAAACGAAUUUUAGCUACAAACAAAAUACAUUUCGUGCGCUUACGAAACGCGAAAAUCUGGUGGAAAUUUGUGAAAAACUCUGGAAAAUAGUUAAAGUUUUGACGAAAAUAAUUAAAAAAAAAAUAUACAAGUUUUUUUUGUGGUGAAUUGUAAGAGUGCACAACGAAAAAAAAACAGUGUGCGGAUUUCGUUCAAAAGGCGAAGUGAACGCGUAAACGCAGUGCCAAAUAUUGCAAAACAAAAAAGGAAAUGUGCAACUCCCUGCCGCUCUGCAGAUGAAUCCCCUGAAAACGGCACGUUUCUCGUAACGCUCCUCGAAACCGAAAAAGUGUGUUUCCACUUACAUACAUACUACCCAAAUCAAGCGGCAACUGAAAUGUUCAAAAACAUUAUCGAAUAACGAAACCACUGGAAAAGAUCAACGACAGAGAAAAAAA